rnacentral:lncRNA from 1 species
AUUUGGUCUCUCAGUGCUCUAAGACUCUGGAUCUCCAGGAAGCUGUACCACCUCACCUCACCUCACCACCUGCUGUCCUGGCUGGCCGCGAGCUCAGGAGACUCACCCAUCUCCACCCACCCACUCUCCAGUACUGCAGCUCCAGACCACACCUGGCUUUUAUGCUGUUACUGGGAAAGAACUCAGGUUCGCAUGCUUGUGCUGCAGGCACUUGACCAAAGAAGCUAUGCUCUAAGAAUAUAAUUUUGAAACUCCAAAAGGAAAACAAAAGUGCUUCAAAGUUCCCUCAGGACCUACAGAUAUAACGUCCCGUCAAUUACAGAGCAGUGAAAGUAAAGACCUGUAAUUUUCCCAUUUUGAAAUAAACACAGUAUCUGAAUACAAUAAACAAG